rnacentral:rRNA from 1 species
UACAGAGGUCCCAAGCGUUGUUCGGAUUCAUUGGGCGUAAAGGGUGUGUAGGUGGCGCCGUAAGUCGGGUGUGAAAUUUCGGAGCUUAACUCCGAAACUGCAUUCGAUACUGCGGUGCUUUGAGGACUGGGAGAGGAGACUGGAAUUCAUGGUGUAGCAGUGAAAUGCGUAGAGAUCAUGAGGAAGACCAGUGGCGAAAGGCGGGUCUCUGGACAGUUCCUGACACUGAGACACGAAGGCCAGGGGAGCAAACGGG